rnacentral:misc_RNA from 1 species
GCAAACUUGGUCAUUUAGAGGAAGUAAAAGUCGUAACAAGGUUUCCGUAGGUGAACCUGCGGAAGGAUCAUUAACAAAUUAAUUUACUCAUUCGUGUUGCCCUUGAUUUUUUCUUGUUUGUGAUGGUGAUGGUAUGAAAAUGACAGAUUUGAUUUGUCCCUUUUCAUCAUCUCAUUCAUCAACACAAACAGGUAGGCAAGGGAAUUGUGUAUUCUCUUUUACAUAUAUACAACACAAAAAAAAUAACUAUUACACAUCUUGAUGGACAAAAUUGAUGAUGAUAAUUCCACGAGAAUAUCGUAGAAUUUCUUUAAUGAAAACAACAACUUUUAACAACGGAUCUCUUGGCUCUCGCAUCGAUGAAGAACGCAGC